UACGGAGGAUCCAAGCGUUAUCCGGAAUCAUUGGGUUUAAAGGGUCCGUAGGCGGCCCGAUAAGUCAGUGGUGAAAUCUCCCGGCUCAACCGGGAAUGGCCAUUGAUACUGUCGGGCUUGAAUUAUUAGGAAGUAACUAGAAUAUGUAGUGUAGCGGUGAAAUGCUUAGAUAUUACAUGGAAUACCGAUUGCGAAGGCAGGUUACUACUAAUGGAUUGACGCUGAUGGACGAAAGCGUGGGUAGCGAACAGG
rnacentral:rRNA from 1 species